AUUCACAGUGAGGUAAUUAGUUUUCCUUAUUCACAGUAAAAGAAAAUUACAAAUUCGAAAAACACAUGAAUUUCUGUUAAAACUCUUAGUGUGUGUUUAGUAGUUGUCAUGGAGUGUAAUGGUAAAGAUUUUCAGUUUAUCAUUUUAUUGAAUUUAUAUUUGAUUACAUUCCAUAUGUUCAAUUAAGUUCUCCCAGAUAUGAACUAUAAUUGAUAUCAGCAUUUAAGGCAAACAAUUACUUCAGCUAUCAACUGAAUCACGCAGACCAUGUUCUCUUAGCACACUUCUCUUCCAAGGUCCGCUAUUCAAAAAAAAUAGAAACAGAAAGGAAAUAUCUAGUAUUUAGAGACAUAAAAGACCAUUACAUGCUCUUCUAUGAGACUAUGUACCAAUAGAAGCAACAGCAGAACCUGUCAUUCUAGACUACCCAAGUCCAUAAGAAAACCAGAUAACAAGCCUCAUUGUCCAAAUGUUAUUGCAGAUCUUUCGGUGAAGAAUGAAGAUGUGACAUCUCAAUUUUGAAGUCAUGCAUGCAUGUUUCCUUACAAAAGUACAAUAAGCAUGUGCCAAAACCGAAAGCUCAGUCAUCAUAUGCAUAAAUUCUAUUUAUGCUAAUCAUCCAACGUGCAUCAUUGUUAACUUUUUAAAAUUAUGGGACUCAAUAUUCGUUUAAACAAAUUUUCAAAUCAACG
rnacentral:misc_RNA from 1 species